rnacentral:lncRNA from 1 species
AGCAUUGUGGCUGGUGCUGUUCUUGCUGGUGAGCUCUCUCUCAUGUCAGCCCUAGCAGCAGGCCAGCUUGUUAACAGCCACAUGAAGUACAACAGAUCUAGCAAAGAUGUCACCAAGGUACAAGCAACCUAAGCAAACCCCCCACCCCAAAAACAAACAGAAGCAAUCCAAGCCAAAAAAUAAAUAAAACGGGGGGUAGAACUUAAUUUGAGGAAAUUCUAAUUCGUGGAAAGUAAUACAAAAACUAUCAAAUUAUGAAUUUUGGGUAAAUUACGCCUGGAACCCUUUUACUUUCACUUAAGUUUCACUUUACACCAUUCACGUCCAAUUGUGUGAGUAAACCUCCUACACUUUUAGUCAAGUGAUAAUUUGACUCUUCUAUCUACCUUCUGGGGUUAUGUACAUGCCUUACGGAAGGGCCAAAUGGACACAUGACAUAAAGUGUAAGGGAUUAAUUUAGACAAUUGAAAGUAAAAGGUGCAUAGAGAAAUUUUAGUAAAAAAUACAAGGGUGUAAAGUGUAAUUUAUCAUAAAAUUUUUAAUUGA